ACCGUAAGUGCAAACAACUUAAACUCUUCCUGUGAAAAAGAAAAUAAAUUAUCUGCAAAGCCAAAAGCUUUAAGAACUUUAUACCUGCUUUUGCUUAGGAGAUUUCGAUUUGGAACUCCAAUUGAUAGGUCGCGAUAUUUCCACUACCUCAGCAUCAAUUGAACUCCCACCUUAAUUUUCUCAAAGAGAUUCUUGAGAUAGUAGAGCUUCGUGCUGAUAAUGUGUUAUAAAACAAUAAAAGAAACCUGAAAAUACUCUUUUCAUGGAAUUGCGAGUGACAU
rnacentral:lncRNA from 1 species